rnacentral:rRNA from 1 species
AGUCGAACGCACCUUUCGGGGUGAGUGGCGGACGGGUGAGUAACGCGUGAGAAUCUGCCUUCAGGUCGGGGACAACCACUGGAAACGGUGGCUAAUACCGGAUAUGCCGCAACGUGAAAGAUUUAUCGCCUGAAGAGGAGCUCGCGUCUGAUUAGCUAGUUGGUGGGGUAAAAGCUCACCAAGGCGACGAUCAGUAGCUGGUCUGAGAGGAUGAUCAGCCACACUGGGACUGAGACACGGCCCAGACUCCUACGGGAGGCAGCAGUGGGGAAUUUUCCGCAAUGGGCGAAAGCCUGACGGAGCAAGACCGCGUGAGGGAGGAAGGCUCUUGGGUUGUAAACCUCUUUUCCCAGGGAAGAACACAAUGACGGUACCUGAGGAAUCAGCCUCGGCUAACUCCGUGCCAGCAGCCGCGGUAAUACGGAGGAGGCAAGCGUUAUCCGGAAUUAUUGGGCGUAAAGCGUCCGCAGGUGGCACUUCAAGUCUGUCGUCAAAGACUGGGGCUUAACCCUGGAAAGGCGGUGGAAACUGAAGCGCUAGAGUGUGGUAGGGGUAGAGGGAAUUCCCGGUGUAGCGGUGAUAUGCGUAGAGAUCGGGAAGAACAUCGGUGGCGAAAGCGCUCUACUGGACCACAACUGACACUCAGGGACGAAAGCUAGGGGAGCGAAUGGGAUUAGAUACCCCAGUAGUCCUAGCCGUA